GAGAGAUAACUGCUCUUCUAGAAUUUUUUUCUAGCAGGUUUUCUGACUUUGGUCAGAAAAUUCAA